rnacentral:SRP_RNA from 1 species
CAUUGGUCCUCUCGCAAUGCUAGUAGGUUAACCUGGUCAGGUCCGGAAGGAAGCAGCCACAGCUU